rnacentral:rRNA from 1 species
GAUUAGAGUUUGAUCAUGGCUCAGGACGAACGCUGGCGGCGUGCCUAACACAUGCAAGUCGAACGGAGAUGUUGAUUUCGGUUGACGUCUUAGUGGCGAACGGGUGAGUAACGCGUGAACAAUCUGACCUUAAGAGGGGGAUAACAACGAGAAAUCGUUGCUAAUACCGCAUAAGACCACAAUGCCGCAUGGCGAAGGGGUCAAAGGAGCAAUCCGCUUAAGGAGGGGUUCGCGUCCCAUUAGGUAGUAGGUGAGGUAACGGCCCACCUAGCCGACGAUGGGUAGCCGAGCUGAGAGGCUGAUCGGCCACACUGGAACUGAGACACGGUCCAGACUCCUACGGGAGGCAGCAGUGGGGAAUAUUGGGCAAUGGGCGCAAGCCUGACCCAGCAACGCCGCGUGAGGGAAGAAGGUUUUCGGAUUGUAAACCUCUGUCGCAGAUGACGAAACAAAUGACGGUAAUCUGAGAAGC